CUGAGUCAUCCCGCGUGAUGUUUCAAAUAAUGAUUGAUUUUUAACUGUUAUUUAAAAUUGAGGAAUCAACUUUCCGAGCUAAAUGUAUGUCUACGUUUAUAUUCUGUACCGCUAUGACAAUAACUUUAAGAAGACGACAUAUUGUAUGGAUUUUUAUAUGUUUACUAGAAUACACCACUGCCAGCGAUGGCAACACUGUAAAUCCCAAUCAACUUGUGUUAGAAAAUGAACAUGACAAACAGCUUGAUGAUGUGGCUUUAACACCAAAUGAUGAAGUGCAUCCAAAAGGUUAUAAAACACUGAAACAUCCUGACGGCCAAGAAGUAAGCAAUAAUGAUUUAAGAGAUAAUAAACAAGCUUAUUUCAAUGAAUAUGAUGACGUGGCUACAAAACAUCUUGUUGGAGAUCAUCACAAUGAACAAAGCAUUGUUAAACUACCUAAAUGUCAAAAUGAUUAUAGUCAAGUUGUUAUUGCAGAUAACAAAAGAAAUAGUGAAGAUGUUACAGACAAACUCUUAGGUGCUAAUGUUACUACUAUAUACUUAGCUGGAUACGAUGACCAAAUAUUCAAUCUUAUGUACGAUAUUAAAAAACAAGGGUUAGGUUAUGAAUUACUUGUAUAUUUUUAUAUAUUCACGCAUAACAAGUAUCGUA